rnacentral:lncRNA from 1 species
GGAAGGCGAUGGGUUAUAACCUUAUAAGGAGGAUAAUGAAACUUAGUGUCAUCCGGGAAGGUUGUAACCCCAUAGUACUCAACCAAUGAGGAACUAGGGGAGGGACUUGCGUACCGGAGAUAAAUUACCUGUUGUGACUGACCCAGGUGCGUCGUCCCAGACACCCGAUGUUACAAGACCGUUAUAAAAAGUCUCAUUUUCACUGUUCUUCGUGCCUCUAAGUCCAUUCUUUGGGUUUGAACGGGUGAGUGUGUUUCUCACAACCUGAGGGCCCGUUCGGGAUCUCUGUGCCUACGUGGAGUGGGACUCCGGCUGAGAGAAGAGACAUGUCCCACCCGAUUUUUGUGCCCCACUCUGUCUGGGUGUCCUGGCUCCCCACAGAAGCCAUAGAUAAACCCGAGACUGUUAUUCAGGAGACGGUGGAGGUGACGCAGGGAGAAAAGCAGGCACUGCGGCAAACAGGCAACCUCGUGCACCAGCCAAGGUUGGGUAUUUCCUUCAGCCUAUUAAAGGAAUUGGGAACCUGUGGUACCUUCCUUUGAGUGUCACGGGAGUACCAUCUCUUUACCUUGGCAAGAGCAGAUCCUUCAUAUCUGUAGUUGAAUCACACACUCUCAGAUAUCUGAGCUUGAAUUCUACAGGGACACUUAUCUCAGCUUUUGAGUUUUAGGAGAAAUAGCCUGCAGACCAGAGAAUAAGGAAAAGUUGUUUCCUGCCAAAGAACAAGCAGUAUUGUGAAAUAUAAAAUUUUAUUGUUGCGGUGAAAGAAAAUUUCAGUAUCAAAUUUUUGAAAACACCAUGUAAGAGAUGCCUGCUUUCCCUUCACCUUCCGGCAUGAUUGUAAGUUUCCUGAGGCCUCUCCAGACAUGCUUCCUGUACAGCCUGUAGAACUAUUCUGACACCUCCACUUCACACAAAACACUCCACUUUAGAGUUCCUUGGCCCCUUAAAGUAAGUUUUACAAGUCAAACCUUGAACCAGCAUGAAAAUAGCUUUAUCUCAUGUGUGGUCCACACUAGGUCCUUGGUAAAUAUUCAGUCUCAUCUCAUUUUCCUACAGUUCCGAGUAUAGCUACUUUCUAGAUACAGCAACACCCUAUCUUAGCUUUUCCUUCCACCUUAUCUUAGCUUUUCCUUCCAGGCAACUUGACAGAAUAUCUCUCUUGCCCUCCUCAUUCCUUGAGAUGGAAGUCAGACCCAGGUCACUGCAUUCCCCUAGAUACAAGGAAUCUAUAUCAAAUUAUCUCAGUGUACCAACAAGGCUUGAGUAGAGGGUUAGAUACUUCCCACCUUGUACCCCUAGGGUUAAAGAAGUAGAACUUAAAUCACAACUUUGCCCUUAAAAUACAUUGUAAAAAUUUCUCUCUUUUCACAAGCUUAUGACUCCUUGCUGUUCUGGAUAUGAAUGAAAGACUGAAAAGUUGUGAAAACAGUCACUAUUUAUGUGUAACUUUUUUUCACUUUGGAAUUUUAGUUUGUUUUAUCAUGAUGCUUCAGAUAAAACUCUCAUUUUAUUGCUUUAUCUAUACAUUUUACUUCCUUGUCCCAGGCCUAUCUUAAAUUCAAUAUCUCAUUUAGGUCUCAUAAUAAUUCCAUGGUGAAUAUUCUCACAAAUCCAAGGUGAAUAUUUCCUAAUUAUUUCCAUUUUAUAACUGAAGAAAUUGAGGAGUAGACAGAUCAAUUCACUUGCCUAAAGCCAAAGGUAGUAAGUGGUGCAGAGAUUAAGAUCAACAUUGUUUGCACCUUUCAUGAGUAUGUGCUCUAAUCCACUGCUCUAUGCUAUAUACUGCUAUCAUAUAAACCAAAGAACGUGUGGAACUCCAUGGCUGAAAUUACGACUAGUCACAACAAGUUUUUCUUUGUUUUAUGGAAGAAGCACAGGUGCACAAAAGUUCUGAACUAGGACAAGAAAAAU